rnacentral:lncRNA from 1 species
AAAUCCGUCCAAUCUUCGUUUCACAACACCCAGCAGAUACCUGACUGAGUGCCACCCGAUGGAAGCCCUCCACUACACAGUGGUUCAGUGUGACAAGCAGAACGGCAGGGAGCAAAGCAGGAGGCCAGCAAGUCCAUACUCAGGUGGAUUUGGGGCUGGACCUUGAAGGACUCGGAGGGUUUUGUCAGGUAGAGAAGACUGGGGGGAACCUCCAGUAAUGGGGGCAUGUGAAUAAAUAAAUGGGGGCAUGACAUUUCAGCAAGAGAGAUGUUACACAUCACAGUGGAGGAGCCAGAGGGGAAGGUCCAAUGUAAGGGAGACCUUAGGAAAGAAAAACUGAAGGAAGUGGUGGUGCGCUGGAUUGGCUGGUGCUGGAGGAUGCAGGGAGGUACGUGUAGGAAGGGGAAGAGCUGCUUAUCAAGCCUUUCAAAAUAACAUUUAGAAAGCAGAGAAUAUCAGCUAGAUAAAUUAUCUAGCUAAGUCUCUAACGUGGCUCUUCCCCCACAAAACAAACCAGAUAUUCAUGGUUUUCCCCCAAAACAAAUCAGAUUAUUUACUUGUGAUGCUACUAAUGUUUAAAGAAGGCCUUAGAAAUCCCCUUCGGGAAUUAAUUGCCUUCAGAAUGUGUUACUGACCUACAGCAGAGCAUCAACUAGUCUUGCUACCUUACGGGUUUCUCAGUCGCUGUGUGCCUCUAUCUAUGAUGGAAACGUUCCAUAUGCAUAUAAGAUACAGAUCGUUAGAACUUAACCAGUUGCACAUUUCUUUUAUAAAUUGGAGAAUGUGGCAACUGGCUUUUGCCUAUUUCCAAAAACCGAAUGCAAUGCACAAAGGAUUUCACUUGUGGGCUCAGAAGACCAGAAGAAUGUGCUGCAGGCUCUGAUGGCAAUCCCCGAGGGGAGACUGGCAAUACGUUGGAGCAGCCACCGCCCUGGAGUCCGUGCUGGCUUCCACAGUGUCUGCUGACCCAUGGACUGUGUUCUGUGCGAUUUUUGUUGCUGAGUUACGGCUCACGGUCCACAGACUUAAGCAAUUCACCCAAAGCAGAAGCAAAACAGGCUUUUGUGGGGAAAGUGGAAAGUGGCUGCAGGGGAUACCUGUCAUGGUGCUCUGGGGUCCAUCCUCCACAGAACCUCAGGAAGAUGACAGGCCACCCAGAGGCACCAACUCCAUGA